AAUGUUAGCACCUUGUACAUGUAAGUUAAGACAUUAUUAUUUUCUACAUUUAAUAGUUUGUUUCUUAGGCAUGAUAUUUUUAGGUUUUUGUUUUUUAAACUUUGCCAUAAUUGUACUUGAAAAUCUUACGAAUAUAAAUGUCAGGGUUAAUGUGAUUGACAACCUUAUAAACUUAGUGUUGAUAACCUGGUAAAUGCCUUCCGUUGCAUAUCUCUCUAUAGAAUGGUCAUAGAUUUGUUAGUAGAGUUGUAAGGACUAGGGACAUCUAUACAUCCCUUAAUAGUUUUUUUCUUUUUACCUUGUCAUAAAUACUAAUAGUAAACUUAUACCUUUUUUUUUUUAAAAUUCAACCUGCUCUGUAUUCACUUAUUCCACUAUCAUGGUUUCACCCCUGACAUAUAUAUAUUUGUAAAUGUUGUAGAUAUGCUUGCCUACCAAGAAUCAGGCCCGUCCAUUAUGUUGAUUUUUUAUUUGUUGUUUCAUGUGAUUUCUAAGAACUUUAAUGUAAAAUAAAAGAAUGUAUAUACUAUCAACUCUCAUUUAGCUAUUUAGUCUAGUUGUUUUUAUUUAGUUGAAUGUGUGUGUGUUUUCUAAAUGAAUGUGUGUGUGUGUUUUCUAAAGAUUAGAUAAUUCU